AAGUCGUAACAAGGUUUCCGUAGGUGAACCUGCGGAAGGAUCAUUAUCGAGUUUGAAAAGGGUUGUAGCUGGUCUUUCACGAGGCAUGUGCACACCCUACUCAUCCACUCAACACCUGUGCACACUAUGUAGGUUUAGACGAGCAUCGGGGCCCUCGUGCCUCGGUAGGAGUCUGCCUAUGUCUUUAUAAACUCUGUUUAGUAUACGAAUGGACUUGCGAUAAAACGCAUCUUAUACAACUUUCAGCAACGGAUCUCUUGGCUCUC
rnacentral:misc_RNA from 1 species